CUUCUCCGGUGAAGUUGCUUUCCUACUGACAUUAGCAAACAAAAUAAAUACAAUUUAUCUUUUAUGCUUGUCCCGGCAUCUGAUAGAACACCUGGCACUUCCUAGAUUCUCUAUCAGUGCUUUUGCUUUGGGUAGAUGGAGAUUUGAUUCAGUUUUAUUUGAUACAUGUAAGAGUGGCCUGCUGAGUACAUCAGAAAGAAGACUGUGAGUCCUGAACAGACAGCAGAAUCUCACAGCCCAAACUCCACAUGCCAUUCAUGUAACCGUGUAGCACUGCAGCUCUGCUGUUGAGGUUUGCACUGCCCACUCCAGUAGCCACUAGGCACCUCAAGCCACUGAGCACAUGAAAUGAGGCCCGUCUGAACCGAGGUAUGUAGCAGGCAUAAAAUACACCCUUGGAUUUCAAAGACUUGGUACCAAAGAAGAAGGCAUGUUCCCCAAAACACUCCCUAAUGCAGCUCCUGUGUGAUGAGUCUGCUUCCCAGGAAACUCAACUUGCAACAGUGGUAGGAGUGGCCCAAGGAAACAGAUGCUCACGUGGGAUUCUGAAGCUGCCACCUGACUAGCCAGCUAGCAGUGAAGACCCUGAUCAUCAGAAGGAGGAGGGCUGCUCUAUAUAAUGGGACAGAGAAGAAUGUGACGGCAUCCUCCUGGUCCACUGGAGUGCCUCUUGACAUUUCCUUGCUCAUCUUGAUGAUAAAUGGAUAAACACAGCAGUAAUACUUAAGAAAGUCAUGGAGAUCAGGAGCUCAGAGGCCUCAGAAAUGAAGAUCUGGGUCUUGCCAACAGGAAAAGAGAUCCAACAGCAUCUUGGAGGAACUCUUCCCAGAAUUUAUAUGAAGUGGAUCUGAGUAGUGCAAAUGGUGGACCAUAGUGGAAGCUGUGAUGUGCCACUCUGUCUCCUUGAAGACUGAAGGACUUAUUCCUCCAGCUAUUCAGGGCACCAUUGGCUGACAGUCAUCAGAAAUUACUAUAGGCUGGAGAGUUCUGCCUUGCACAAAGUUCCCAUGCUUCCUUCCCCAGGGCAGCUCAGAUCUAAUAACUGGUCAAUGUGUAAUAUAAAGGCCCAAAUCCCUCAGCUUAUCUCAGGACAUUAAAGGACAUCAGAGCUUCAGGAUCCCCAGAGGGUUAGCCUAGCCUUUGCUGAGACCCCAUCACAGUGCAAUUUCUUCUACUGCUUCCUUCUCUCCCUUUCCACAGUGUUGAUCCUGGGAGUGCGCCCUAUAAAAGUUUCUGCACACUGAUCUCCAUCCCAGAGUUUGCUUCCUGGGAACCCCACCCUACGACAAAAACAUUGGGACACCUGAUGAAAUUUGAAUAUGGACUCUUUUUUAAAUAAUGGGGUCGUACCAAUGUUAAAUUUCCUGAUUUUUGAUCAUAUAUUGUGUUUAUAUAAGAGAAUGUUUUUGUUCUUAGGAAACACACUGACAAAAACAGAAAUAAAGGCACACAGUAUCUGCAACUUAAUUUCAAAUGAUUUAGAAAAAAUUUGUACAUGGAGAGGUGGAAGAUCAGACAAAAAGAAGAAAAUAGGGCUAAAUGGCAACAAUUGGCGAAUCUGGGUAAAAACUAUGGAGGUUAUUUAUACACUUCUUGCAACUUUUCUGUAAGUUUGAAUUUACAUCAAUAUUACAAAUUACCAAAGUAAAAUGACCAGACCUCAUACCAUUCUCAGAGAUUCUGAUUCCCUUGGGUGCUAUUAUAUUUCCAGCACUCAGCUCCAGUCUGUAGGUAUUCAAUAAAUAUUUACUGAGUAAAUGAAUGAGUUAAUGAGUAACCUUGGAA